AUACGGAGGUUGCAAGCGUUACUCGGAAUCACGGGGCGUAAAGCGCGCGCAGGCGGUCUUUUAAGUUGGAUGUGAAAGCCUACGGCUCAACCGUAGAACUGCAUCCAAAACUAUUAGACUAGAGUGUGGGAGAGGAAGAUGGAAUUAGUUGUGUAGGGGUAAAAUCCGUAGAGAUAAAUAGGAAUACCAAAAGCGAAGGCAAUCUUCUGGAACACUACUGACGCUGAGGCGCGAAAGCGUGGGGAGCAAACAGGAUUAGAAACCCUAGUAGUCC
rnacentral:rRNA from 1 species